rnacentral:lncRNA from 1 species
UACAGGCAUACGCCACCGCACCUGGCCCAAAUUAUUAAUUGUACGUAUUCUCAUUGUUCUGCUUCUUCCAAGAAAACUGAAGUCACGGUAUUCUGAAGACUAGAGAUGAUUCAACAGGCUGUGAAUCUAUUCCAUUUGGAAUCCUACUGGGCCUGAUCUGUUUUCCAUUGCCAAGGCACUGCUGUUUAAGCUAUACCAUAUGAAGCACCCUCCCUAAAGGCUCAGGGGCCAUAGUGAAAGAGGACACAUGGGAUUGUAAGAGCCAGAUUAUGGGGGUGGAGGGUAAAGGCUGAAGCAAGUCCAUCUUGGAUGCUAACUCACUAUGUUAGCUUCUGAUUAACCCCAGUUCCAGGAAGGCUGCUGAAAUUUCCAGUUUAUGUGUUGUUCCUUGUGUAAGAGCAUGGACUUACUGCAAAUCCUGCCCUUAGGGCAAAUUCCUACCUAUUCCUGCGGAAGCAUGUGUAUCAUUCCCCUAUGGUUUAUAACCCCUGAGUCUGGGGGUAAUGGCACGGGGACCCACCAGCUUGUCUGCCGCCAUCUGGGGUACAGUGCUGGAAGCGGGGAUACAGGGACAAAUAAGACACAGAUCCUGUUCCUAAAGAGAGUCUUUUCUAAGGCACCAACUACUUCCUUCAAGCAGCAGCCAGAGAUCUUUGCUUAAUGGCUGAGAAACACAGAGGAGAGACCCAGAGAGAAGGAGAAGGCCGCAUGAAGAUGGAGCAGAGACUGGAGUUAUUCAGCCAAGUCAAGGAAUGCCUGGAGCACCAGAAGCCGGAAGAGGCAAGGAAGGAUCCUCCCUUAGAGCAUUUGGAAGAGUGUGGCCCUGCCAACACCUUGACUUCAAACUUCUGGCCUCCAUAACUAUGAAAUAAAUUCUUGUUGUUUUAAGCCACCAAGUUUGUGGUAACUUCUUACAGCAACCCUAGGAAAUUAACACACAGAGUGUCAGUUACCUAAACAUUGUGAGCCUCAGUUACCUUAUCUGAAAAUGGGGCUAAAACUUAGACCUACCUUUUAGGGCUGCUUUAAGGAGUAAUAGAAAUUAUACAUGGGAAUUACAUGGCACCAAGUUGUUCCUUAAUAGAGGGAAACUGUUAUGAUGGCGGAAGAGCAGUAAUGAAAUACUGAAUUCAUCCAGCAGAUGGCAGAAGAUGGAUUUGCAAACAAGAGGACUUCAUAAGGUUUGCUGCCCAGCAAUGCAGCUCCAGGCCUAAAGUAGCCUUCCUAGCUCACAGACUGAUGAGGAUUAACCCUCGCCAACUCAAGUGUGCUCUCAGCUCUGUAGAAACUAAACUAAUUCUGUUUUCCUUUGACCAUUGUACACCACAGAGGCUGGCAAUGGAGAAUAUAAAGAGUGGUGCAACAGAAAAUACCUGGGUUCUAGGCUCAGCUCUGUCACCUCAUUAGGAUUCAGUUUGCCCAUCUGUAAAGUAGUGACAAGAUGAAAUACCAAGUGUAACGUAAUUAAAGGGCUGUUGUGAUACCAAAAUAACAUAAUGUGUAAAAGUGCUAAAAACAAGAUGCCAUAAAGCACAGAAGGGGCCCAGGAGAGAUUAAUUCAUGGAGAACUUACUCGUUUUUUUGAGACAGAGUCUCACUGUGUUGCUCAGGCUGCAGUGCAGUGGCGCGAUCUCAGCUAAC